AAGGAGUCUAACAUAUCUGCGAGUAUUUGGGUGUCAAACCCGAGUGCGCAAUGAAAGUGAACGUAGGAGCCACGCGCAAGCUGCAGCUUCGACCGAUCUGCCGCAAGGCUGGUUUGAGUAGGAGCAUAUUUGUUGGGACCCGAAAGAUGGUGAACUAUGCCUGAAUAGGGUGAAGCCAGAGGAAACUCUGGUGGAGGCUCGUAGCGAUACUGACGCGCAAAUCGUUCGUCAAAUUUGGGUAUAGGGGCGAAAGACUAAUCGAACCAUCUAGUAGCUGGUUCCCAC
rnacentral:misc_RNA from 1 species